rnacentral:lncRNA from 1 species
ACUGGCUGCUAUGAGUAGGACCAUUUUUAUUUUAGGAAUAAAUUUCUAAGAGAAACUUAGAAGGCAGGACAUCUUAGAGGUUGACUGGACCAAACCUCUCCCAGGGCAGGCAGUCCUACCAAGCCUUGCUUGUAAACUCCCACAGUUGAGGAGUUCACCCCCACCAACGGUACCAUAGGAACUCCUUCCACUAUAGCCAGGUCUGCUUGGGAGGAAGUCAAGCUGGGCUGGACCCCUCUGGGUCCUUAGCAAUUCUGGGUAGCCUUAGCAUUGCACAGCUGUAACCUUGGAGAAAUCUCCCUUAGCCUUCCAUUCUAAAAUGCUUUAGUCUCUGGACCUUCUAUAGGGUGAUUCUCUAGAAGAGAGAUUAGGAGCUUUUUGGUUGGCUCUUUUGUCCCGAGCCCAGGUGAUCACCUUUGUUCCUUGUGCUCUCUGUGAUAACAGAGUAGCACUUGCUGACAGUACUUUGUGCCUUUUCCAUUUUCUCCUUUGGAAAACAACUGAGAAACCAGCUGGAUCUGACUGCCUCCCUAGCCUGCCACUUUCCAGUCCUCCAGGGGUAGAAGGCCCUCUUUGCCUCCUCCCUGGACAAGGGCCUGGUAGAAAGCCCUGGAGGAGGGGCCUUGUGAGCUGGCUGUUGUCAUGGCAACAGCAGCCCUGGAAUUUGACCACUGGGGCCCAGGGGUGGGGGUGGGGAGUUGGUACAGGCCGUGCUGGGGCAGGAGGAGGGUCCAUAGGCCUAGGAAAGCCAAGAAUUGCAAGGCAGGGAAAGGGGUCAUAGCUCCUCCAUGGCCUCAGUUUUCCUAUCUGUAAAGGGGAAAAGGCAUGGACCUCAAGAUAUCACUUUCUGGUUCUAAUCAAUGGUGGAGGCAGCCAGGGAACUCUUGGCAUGCUUGGAUCCAGAAGGCUGACAGAGGACUUGCCCCACCCACCUGCUAUGCCAAGCUACACCCCUCCCUUGCUCCUCUUCCAGGGCCCCAGAGCCACAGCACAGACCUGGUCCCAAGCAUCCAGGAAACAACUAUCAAAAGGGUUCUUUGCCUCUCGCCUCAGGACCCACCAUGCACAUGUCUGACCAUCCAUCACUGCACAGAAGAUGCCUUCUAGUGGGUGAAUGAGCUCGUCAUCCUCCAUGGCUCCCACUGCCAACGCCAUUCAUCUCAACACUGAGGUGUUCAGCCUGGCUCCUGUACACACAGCCUCUGUCCAUGUGCUCGUGCCAAACCGAGACCUCCCUGUCCUCCUGGCCUUUGACACAUACAGCAGCUUUCCUUUGCUGUCCUGGCUCAGAAUUAUUUCCUCAGAUGCCUAGUGAACCAUGCAUGUUACCUACUCUGAAGAACUCUCAGUGGCUGCCUCUAUCCAGCAGUCCAAG